CCGAGUAAGGGUUCGCUUCCACGCGGCCCGACCUCCCAACCCUUUGUCUACUUUACCACAAUGUUGCUUCGGCGGACCGGUCGCGACCAACUGGUCGUGACCGCCGGGCCUGACCGCCUGGAGUGCGUCCGCCGACGGCCAAAACAAAACUCUUGAACCGAAACCUGUCGUCUGAAUUAUUUGAUAAAUCAAAAACA
rnacentral:misc_RNA from 1 species